rnacentral:tRNA from 1 species
GGAGGAGUGUCCGAGUGGCUUAAGGAGCACGCCUGGAAAGCGUGUGUACGUGAAAGCGUACCGUGGGUUCGAAUCCCACCUCCUCCA